rnacentral:snRNA from 1 species
GCGAUGGAAGCUAUGCGCCAAGAAGGCAUCUUGAAAGCUGGGAAGAGGUCUGGCAAAAGCACGGCAAAUGGUUUGAUCCACUCGUACAUCCAUGCCGGCUCCAAGUUAGGUAUAAUGCUGGAAGUCAAUU